CAAGCGCGGGACCUGGUGCGCAGCCUGGCCAGGGCGCACUCCGCGCCUCCAGGGACCCAUGCCUCCCGCCCAGUGUGUCGGGGUAGGGGAAGCCGGCGAACCAGAGGGAACGUAGAUUAAAAAACAUCGAAAGGGAAGAAGGAUAGCCAGAGAAAAAGGCUGGGAGAGAAGGGCAGACACCUACAAGGACAGGACCGGAGAGGAGACGGAAGGCAGAUGCAAAGGCUUUCUGGAGACACGGUUUCAUCAUCUGCAAAAUGGAGUGCACAUCUGCCUCCUACAGUCACCUGCAAAGAUUAUGUGAGAGCUUCCCUCAUGUAACACCAGUCUCCAAAAGAGACAGCAAAAGUGAGAGAGGAGGGAGAGAUGAAAGAAAAGAAGGUAUGCACAUGUAAUCCAAUUAAUCCGUCUGAUAUUUGGUCCCAUCACCUGAAGCCCAUAACACAUGUGAAAGCUGUGAAGACAUCCUAGUCCUCUCCUCUAUAGGUUAACCACGCCUGAAGUUCUCACUUUCUCUGAAGAAGAUACUGCCCUGGGCUCAUCCAUUUCCUGCUGACUCUCCUCUGGAUCUGAGUUAUUUCAUUGUUUAGAACAAUGAAAACCUAAGGACCUUUAUGUAUUAUCUGAAAAUAAACCAGCUUUCCAUGUU